GUGGGUAUAGCACAAUGGUUAGUGCAUCGGCUUGCCAUGCCGAGGAUGUGAGUUCGAUUCUCAUUAUCCACU
rnacentral:tRNA from 1 species